GGCCUAAUGGUCUAGUAGCAUGAUACCUCCUUCGGGCUUUACAACCCGGAUAUCUUUGAUAUCUUGAUUUGGAGGUGGUCCUGGGUUCAAUUCCCAGUUAGGCCC